CUCCUACGGGAGGCAGCAGUCGAGAAUCUUGGGCAAUGCGCGAAAGCGUGACCCAGCAAUGCCGCGUGCAGGAUGAAGGCCUUCGGGUUGUAAACUGCUGUCACCCGGGACGAAGAAUUGACGGUACCGGGAGAGGAAGCCACGGCUAACUACGUGCCAGCAGCCGCGGUAAUACGUAGGUGGCGAGCGUUGUUCGGAUUUAUUGGGCGUAAAGGGUCUGUAUGGGGUUUGCUAAGUCUGAUGUGAAAUCCCGUGGCUCAACCACGGAACUGCAUUGGAGACUGGCGGACUAUAGUUCUGGAGAGGUAAGCGGAAUUCCGUGUGUAACGGUGGAAUGC
rnacentral:rRNA from 1 species